AGAUGCUGCCAUCUAUGGAUACAAAUUUUGCUGGUCAAUGAACAUCACAUGCCUGAGAUUGCUGAGUUGAAGAAAAAGACUAACAAGCCAAAGAGACCUUAUGUUACGGCAUUAUUCAGUCUUUUGUUUCAGAUGAGUGGAGCCACUUUGUUCAAUCUCUCUAUUCUUACAUCUGAUAUGUGGGUUGUGGUUGUUCGCAUAUUGUUCUACCACCAGGAGAGCUAAGCAAUGGUACAAGUUAAAUUAAGUCUUGGUUUUUAGUCAUCAGGACCUUCGGAAUCAUCAAGCUGAGCAAGAUAAACCAUUAUCUCUAAUAUACAAGGAAGUGGAGACAACACCUGCCUAUCCAGAUAUUUGUUUUGCAGUCGAUGACUUUGACUCCACUUUUGAUGUUGUUGUAAGAAGAUUCUUCUAUUGUUUGUGUUGUGGCCAUUAGAUCAUUUAGACUUGUGAUGCCAAAAGUUACUAGCCAUAUAAUGUUGUUACCAGACUGAAUUGGUUUAUGUCAUAUUCUUUGGUCGUACUUCUUCAGUUCUUCUGGUCAUUUUGCUAUCAUCAGUCAUUCUUAAGAAACCGCAUGUCUGACUACUUUUGUCUUUUUCUUUAAAUCGUUAAAUCAUAAUGUUAGCACCUGCUAGUACUAUUUUGUCUAUUUAUGUAUUUUCAUUGUCAAAACAUCUAAAUAUUUUUAUUUGCCCAAGUUUAUUUAGUACAGUCCCAAAAUAUAUUAAUAUUAACUAAAAAUUAGCAAAUCCGAUAAUUCCGAUAUAUUCCGAUAUAUCUUUUUUUCCCUCAACCGAUACAACCCCGAUAACCGAUAUUUAGACCCUUGACUAUAUCUAAAUAUUGAAUUACUGAGUUUCCAUUUGCUGCUCUCAUGCAGUUUCAUUCUUGUGAAUUUUGCAAGAUGAAUAUUAAGUUCUUGAAUCAUUUUUUGGGUUUAGUCAUUGUUGAUUUUAGGUAAUAGAAAAAAUAGUAGGUGUUCAUGAGGCGAUCUCUGUUGCUAUCUAUCAUUUAUAAUAUGUGGCUUCUCUUAUGUUGUUGCUUGUCUAUACAUUGUUUCAGUCUUAGUGCUUUGUGACUUAUGUGAGUAUUGAUGUCAUUCAUUUCAAAGAAGGCUUGCAGCUGUGGGGAGGAAGAGCCUUAGUACUGAUGCUUAAUUUUUCAUGUGUAACUAUCAUAUCUUUGUAAUAGUUUUAUUUGUUAGCUUAGUCUUGAAGUUUGCCACUUUGAAUGGUAUAUCUAUAAUGAUAUUGAACUUGUUUGAGGCAUUGAAAAUAA